ensembl:lncRNA disrupted in schizophrenia 2
GAGGGAACAAACCCUGAAGGUGUGAACAAGCUCGGUGCAUCUAGACAUGUAAGGAAGGUUCCAGCAUGUGAAGGAGCGAGGACGGAGAAGGGUCCGGUGAGGUCUUACAGCAACAGAGGGUCCAGCCACAUGAGGCUGAGCAGCCAAGUGAUCUGCCUAGGCCAGCUCCCCUUCAUCUUCUGCCAUGAGUGGAAGCAGCCUGAGGCCCUCACCAGAAGCAGAUGUUGGCACUAUGCUUCUUAGACAGCCUGCAAAACUUAAGAAGGUCCUUGCCAGAUGCAAGCCCCUCAACCUUGGACUUCCAAGCCUCCAGAAGUAUCCAUGCUGCAGCCCAUCAGCUUGGAAAAGACAUAUCUUCCUUCUCAAAUGGAAAGCCCAAAUAUUGAUGACGGGUUUCUCUAGUUGAUGGUUACGGCAGGGAGCAGUCUGAUGCCUCACCUCCCUACGGUGGAAGAAAGGAAGCUGACCAAUCAAAGUGUGCACCUACACAGCCCACACUGCCCUCCAGAUGCGGCGAUACCUCCCUGCACCUCAAAUGACCUGGAUGGGGCAAAUUCAGAUAACACGAAUACUCUAUGACCAGAUCAGAGAUGGGAAGCCUCCAGCCUAAGCCAGGAUUUGAACUUGGGUGUUGAAGACCUAUGCUCUUCCCAUGAAGUCACGUUGCUUCUAAUCAAUGUGUCCUCAUCGCUCCCCACUCAUGCUUCACAGCUCCAGGCUCAAGCAGGCAUGGACCCUGUUUCAAGAUUCCCUGCCUCUGGGGUGCCCUGUCAACUUCCAGAGCUCUGGCUUUAACUCAGUGCUGCACCCAGAUUUGUAGCCCCUCGAUGAUUCUUAGCCAACUUGCAUCCUCUGUUCUGGGCCAACCUUGGGCUUCCAAGCAGCCGGCUAAUCAUUCCAGAUGUGCCUGCCUUGCUCAGUCCGGACUUACAACUCUGUCUCUUAACAACUGCAGCUCACAGUCUACCAUGAUAGGAAUUUCCAUAAAGGAUUUUCACAGCACAGAUGUCUUUCUGCCUUUCAAAGGAAGCUUCUAAAGGUCAAAAUGAUAAGAAGUGGCAAAUUGGCCUGGCAGACAAGAAAAGCAUAUUCAAAAGGUAAUGAGGAAUAUCGAAAACAGGCACAAAUGCUGCUGAGCUUUCAACCCUCGUUUGUAAUGAGAUUCCUACAAGCCUUCUAGUCAUUCCCACCAUCUCUCCUUUUUGUACUCCCCGGCUUGACAGCCAAGGCUCUAAUUGCUACACUCAAGGAAAGCAAAGACCCACUUGGCUGCAUUUGGCUUAAAUGGAUAAGAAAAAUGCCAGCUUGGCACAGUGGCUCACGCCUGUAAUCCCAGCACUUUGGAAGACUGAGGCAGGAGGAUUCUUUGAGCCCAGGAGUUCAAGAGCAGCCUGAGCAACAUACUAAGACCUGAUAUCUACUAAAAAUAAAAAAA